GGAAUGUGGCCAUGGCUGUAUCAACGCCAUUUUAGAAAUUGUGAGAUCUGUUCUUCGACAGAAAAUGGUGAAUAAAGCGUGUUCAACUGAAAAUUAUUAGCGUGAAAAGUCUUGUUCUACCUGUUUAUCUCUGUUUAUUUGGACAUUCGUGAUAUUUUACUUCGUUGAUGAAUUAAAUUCAAUCAGGUUACUGUUGGAUGCAUACUUUCGUGGCAUUGUGCCACUUCAGUAGUUCUUGAAAAGCAACUCAAGACCAGUAGCGAAUUAAAUCUGCCUGAUGAAAUCCCUCUUAAGGAGUGAAGUAUUCCAGGAAAGGAUUCUAUAAUCAACAUACCAUUUGUAAUAGACAUUACUUUGCGGCGACAACUGUGAAGGUGAUGCUGGUAAUUUGCUACAACGGAAUACAGAACAGAGUAAACACUACCUACAUAAACAACUAAACAAAAAGUAGUUUUUG